UGAGGAAUAUUGGUCAAUGGGCGCGAGCCUGAACCAGCCAAGUCGCGUGAGGGAUGACGGCCCUACGGGUUGUAAACCUCUUUUGUCGGGGAGCAAAUUCCGUUACGUGUAACGGAGUCGAGAGUACCCGAAGAAAAAGCAUCGGCUAACUCCGUGCCAGCAGCCGCGGUAAUACGGAGGAUGCGAGCGUUAUCCGGAUUUAUUGGGUUUAAAGGGUGCGUAGGCGGACUGUCAAGUCAGCGGUAAAAUACGGGGGCUCAACCUCCGCCCGCCGUUGAAACUGACGGUCUUGAGUGGGCGAGAAGUAUGCGGAAUGCGUGGUGUAGCGGUGAAAUGCAUAGAUAUCACGCAGAACUCCGAUUGCGAAGGCAGCAUACCGGCGCCCGACUGACGCUGAGGCACGAAAGCGUGGGUAUCGAACAGG
rnacentral:rRNA from 1 species